AGUGUAGGCGGCUGCGUAAGUUGGAUGUGAAAGCCCCGGGCUUAACCUGGGAAUUGCAUUCGAUACUGCGUGGCUAGAGUUUGGUAGAGGUAAGUGGAAUUCCGGGUGUAGCGGUGAAAUGCGUAGAUAUCCGGAGGAACAUCAGUGGCGAAGGCGGCUUACUGGACCAAAACUGACGCUGAGGCUCGAAAGCGUGGGGAGCAAACA
rnacentral:rRNA from 1 species